rnacentral:rRNA from 1 species
AGAGCGAACGCUGGCGGCAGGCUUAACACAUGCAAGUCGAGCGGAUGUAGCAAUACAUCAGCGGCAGACGGGAGAGGAACACGUGGGAACGCGCCCUUUGGUUCGGAAUAACUCAGGGAAACUUGAGCUAAUACCGGAUAAGCCCUUACGGGGAAAGAUUUAUCGCCAAAGGAACGGCCCGCGUCCGAUUAGCUAGUUGGUGAGGUAAUGGCUCACCAAGGCGACGAUCGGUAGCUGGUCUGAGAGGAUGACCAGCCUCACUGGGACUGAGACACGGCCCAGACUCCUACGGGAGGCAGCAGUGGGAAUAUUGGACAAUGGGCGCAAGCCUGAUCCAGCCAUGCCGCGUGAGUGAUGAAGGCCUUAGGUUGUAAAGCUCUUUAGCAGGGAAGAUAAUGACGGUACCUGCAGAAAAGCCCGGACUAACUUCGUGCCAGCAGCCGC